rnacentral:snoRNA from 1 species
UGAGAAAACUUUGAUUAGCUCUAGAUCAAGAGCCGCUUCGGCGACGAUGAGCGAAACAAUGCAUGUAUUAGCUGAAUU